CCUCUGGGACACGGGGCAUUGGCCACUGUCGGUAGACAGGAUACUGGGCUAGAUGGUCUGACCCAGACCAGAUGGUCUGACCCUUUGGUCUGACCCAGUACGGUCAUUCUUAUGUUCUUAUAUUCUUAUAUACUCUACAGUGCCAUGCCUCCUCUAAUCAGCAGCUAGCACACCGCAGGACUGACUUGUGGAUAGAACACUUCAGUUUUCAGAGCUCUUAAUUGGCCUCCUUUUGUGAAUUUACUUUAAAGAUGUGAAAUUCUUGUUAUUUUUCUUCUAACAUGAAAAGAAGCAAUGCCAUUCUCUUUACAUGCUGUUCUUUAUGAAAGAUGGACAACCGGUUUCAGAUAAAAUAAGAGCAAAGCCAGAGCCAAGAUGCAGUCAGUUGCGCCACAACGCUAGAGAUGAAGACCCUGGUGUUUGCCCCAGAAGCAGAGAAGCAGAGAAGAAACAAUGUGUUGUCUCAACUCCUGGCUGUAGUCAGUGACAGAUCCUGGGACUGGACAUUUCUGAUUGGAAAUUCUGUACAGAAUGAUGUUUUGUUUAAAGGUGAACCUUGCUCAAGGAUGACUUGAGGGAUUGAUAAUGGGAGACAGACAUUCCACUCUAGGUUACCUGUCCCAAUAUAGCUCGUCUGGGUAAGUGACCAAGCAAUUCUCCCCUGAAGCCUGUCUGGUGGUUGAUGUGAAAUGCGUUGGGUAUAUCAGUCAUCAGGUACUCAAAGCACCCCUGCUUCCUCAGAAAAAGGUCACUAUUUCAAUUAAUUGGCACCAGGGCCAGCAGAAAGGCAAUGAUGAAAUGGGCAUGGAGAUUGAACAGCGCUCUCACACUUAA